GCCAUCAGGUAAUGCUGGGGACGUCUAAAGGAACUGCCUACGCAAGUAGUGAGGAAGGCGGGGAGUGACGUCAAAUCAGCACGGCCCUUACGUCCAGGGCUACACACGUGCUACAAUGGCCGAUACAGAGGGCAGCUACCUGGUGACAGGAUGCAAAUCUCCAAAGUCGGUCUCAGUUCGGAUCGGAGUCUGCAACCCGACUCCGUGAAGUUGGAUUCGCUAGUAAUCGCGCAUCAGCCAUGGCGCGGUGAAUACGUUCCCGGGCCUU
rnacentral:rRNA from 1 species